rnacentral:rRNA from 1 species
AAAGUCACUAGACGUCCGCCUGCCCAGUGACACAGUUUAACGGCCGCGGUAUCUUAACCGUGCGAAGGUAGCGUAAUCACUUGUUCCUUAAAUGGGGACUAGUAUGAAUGGCAUCACGAGGGUUACACUGUCUCCUCCCCCUAAUCAGUGAAACUGAUCUCCCCGUGAAGAAGCGGGGAUAACACUAUAAGACGAGAAGACCCUAUGGAGCUUUAGAUCCGACGGCACAUGUUAACAUACACUUAAUCCCAGGAAACACAACCCAAACUACAUCCCUGCCGCCUACCUUCGGUUGGGGCGACCGCGGAGAACAAAACACCCUCCGCACUGAAAAGACACAGUCUUUAACCAAAAGAUACAUCUUUAAGUACCAAUAAAUUGACACCCAUUGACCCAGUCCACUGAUCAAUGAACCAAGUUACCCUAGGGAUAACAGCGCAAUCCAUUUCAAGAGCCCCUAUCGACAAAUGGGUUUACGACCUCGAUGUUGGAUCAGGGUAUCCCAGUGGUGCAGCCGCUACUAAAGGUUUGUUUGUUCAACAAUUAAAACCCUACGUGAUCUGAGUUCAGACCGGACGCGUCCUGUUUUUUUAAAACCGAUAUCCGUUUUGAUUUUUACACACGGGCGGGAGAGAGUAUAAACAUGGUGUUGGUUUUUAUUUGAACAGACAGG